rnacentral:lncRNA from 1 species
GUUUUAAGGCUCCCAAUUCUUCCACCAAGCAUGGUCCACCUUGGGUGUCAAAUUGGCAAGGGCAGCAGCCAUUUACUCUGGUUGGCUGCCCCCACUUAGAUCCAAUCUAAGUGGCCCUAAGGCUGACCCUAGGUUCAAUCUUAUUUGACCAGACCUAGCACACUUCUUAUAUUCGGAUUAUUUCUUUAGCCCUUUCUCUUCUCAAAUUAAAUUUGGAUAUUUUUGAUCCAAUUCAUGAGAAAACAAUCAACUGAAUCUCAUUCCAGUUGAUCUGAAGAUAGAUGGCACAUGCUACAUAUAAUUAGGAUAAGGCAGCUUAGGUUCCCACUGAUCAAAGGCAAGCCUCUUUAGGUCUAUUUAGUCCUAAUUUAGCUAUAUGGUGGUCUAUCAUGGGAGAUACGGUGCACUUAUUGCAUUACCAAAUUUCUUGGUAAGUAGGAUGAAACAAGUUGGCUUUCUUGUUCCUACUUAUAAUCCAAUCCUCUAUUAUUCUAAUGUCCCUGUAUAAACAUUGAACAUAGCAUCAUCAAGCC